rnacentral:rRNA from 1 species
ACCUGACUGCUAUCGGAUUGAUACUAAGCCAUGCGAGUCAUUGUAGCAAUACAAGGCAUACGGCUCAGUAACGCGUAGUCAACCUAACCUAUGGACGGGAAUAACCUCGGGAAACUGAGAAUAAUGCCCGAUAGAACACUAUACCUGGAAUGGUUUGUGUUCCAAAUGAUUUAUCGCCAUAGGAUGGGACUGCGGCCUAUCAGUUUGUUGGUGAGGUAAUGGCCCACCAAGACUAUUACAGGUACGGGCUCUGAGAGGAGUAGCCCGGAGAUGGGUACUGAGACACGGACCCAGGCCCUAUGGGGCGCAGCAGGCGAGAAAACUUUGCAAUGUGCGAAAGCACGACAAGGUUAAUCCGAGUGAUUUGUGCUAAACGAAUCUUUUGUUAGUCCUAGAAACACUAACGAAUAAGGGGUGGGCAAGUUCUGGUGUCAGCCGCCGCGGUAAAACCAGCACCUCAAGUGGCCAGGAUGAUUAUUGGGCCUAAAGCAUCCGUAGCCGGCUCUGUAAGUUUUCGGUUAAAUCUGUACGCUUAACGUACAGGCUGCCGGGAAUACUGCAGAGCUAGGGAGUGGGAGAGGUAGACGGUACUCGGUAGGAAGUGGUAAAAUGCUUUGAUCUAUCGAUGACCACCUGUGGCGAAGGCGGUCUACCAGAACACGUCCGACGGUGAGGGAUGAAAGCUGGGGGAGCAAACCGGAUUAGAUACCCGGGUAGUCCCAGCUGUAAACUAUGCAAACUCAGUGAUGCAUUGGCUUGUGGCCAAUGCAGUGCUGCAGGGAAGCCGUUAAGUUUGCCGCCUGGGAAGUACGUACGCAAGUAUGAAACUUAAAGGAAUUGGCGGGGGAGCACCACAAGGGGUGAAGCCUGCGGUUC